CCAAGGGUUGGGCUGUUCGCCCAUUAAAGUGGUACGCGAGCUGGGUUCAGAACGUCGUGAGACAGUUCGGUCCCUAUCCGUCGCAGGCGUAGGAAAUUUGAGAAGACCUGUCCUUAGUACGAGAGGACCGGGAUGGACGUACCUCUGGUGUACCAGUUGUUCUGCCAAGGGCAUGGCUGGGUAGCUAUGUACGGAAUGGAUAAGCGCUGAAAGCAUCUAAGCGCGAAGCCAACUUCAAGAUAAGAUUUCCCACCGCAAGGGUAAGACCCCAGAAAGACUAUCUGGUUGAUAGGUCGAAGGUGUAAGUGCAGCAAUGUAUUUAGCUUAUCGAUACUAAUAGGUCGAGGACUUGACCAA
rnacentral:rRNA from 1 species